rnacentral:lncRNA from 1 species
UGUUAAUAUCUACUUUAACCCUGCCCUAUGGCAUUUUAAAGCCAUUGCAGCCCCACUGUAGUUCUCAUCUCACAUUUUGUGCAGCUAUACGGGCCUUUGCAGCAGAACUCACAGGGUUUGUAGACCUUCCCUUCUCUCAUGCAAAAACACUUUGAAGACCUUAGGAAACAGGAUCAUUAAGCUGAAUGCUGAAUGGAGAAUUACAAGUAUUUUGGCAGCCAUCACUGCAGGAGGGUGUGUUAAAAAACAAUCAGCCUCGGAGAGACCCCAAGAUCAACACAAAGAAUGUUUUUUUCAACUGAAAAAAUAGGUUGGAACCCACCUGUCACACAGUGAGUUGACUCUGUGAGUCAGCCUCAUUUCCUGAUAAGUGUUUUAUGUUGCUAACAUUCAAUUACACUGGAAGUUAUUUAGGGCAGAAUGGAUGUUUAUGCCUGUGAAAGUUUAGUGCAGCGAGACGUUUGCUCUGAAGCUACUGGAAGAUGAAUAAUGGCGCUAAUAACAAUAACAUAUUUAAAUCAGAAAGUGCAUUUGUUCAUUUGUAUUCUUAGAUCUCUGAUCAUCGCUUCUCAAGAGCUUCUUGCUCCCUAUUUUUACUUAAUGGAACUGUAUUCCUCAGACAAGCUGUUCUGAAGGCUGUUUACUUAAUAAGUGAGAUGCCUGACUGAGUCAGAGCUGAGAGAGAAAAGGAGAGAGAAAACACCAGCCAGCUGAAAAGCCAGGAGAAAAGCAAGAGAAAGAUGGGUAUGGAACCCAUAUCUUCCUUCAGGCUAUUCAUGCAAAAUUGUUUAUUUCACUUCUACAAAACUGGGUCUCCCUUUUUUGGAAUGACAUUUCUGCUGAUUUCAAGGUGUUUUGAAUUUUCAUACUUUUUUUAUGGAUGGCAAGAAGAAGAAGCUAAUCUUUUACUAAAUAAAAAUUGAUUCUUGCAUAAGAGGACUCCUGGAGCUAGGCAUGCUGGAGUAAAAAGAAAAGCAGAUUUUGAGCCUCAUGAGCAACAGCAGUAUCAUAUCAUUAAAUUCAUGUCAGCAGAGAGUUUGAAGUAAUAUUUCAAAGGAAUCAGAAGUUUCUAAGAGAUCAAGUUCUAUUAAUGAAAACAAUUAGAUGUUUAUGUAUUAUUUGUGUCUAGGAGAAAAUUAGUGACACAAGCAAUUUCCUACUAGUUAUGAG